GCCGGGCGUGGUGGCGGGCACCUGUAAUCCCAACUACUCAGGAGGCUGAGGUAGGAGAAUUGCUUGAACCCAGGAGGCAGAGGUUGCAGUGAGCCAAGAUUGUGCCACUGCACUCCAACCUGGGUGACAAAGCAAGAUUCCGUCUCCA
rnacentral:SRP_RNA from 1 species